rnacentral:rRNA from 1 species
AGGGUUCGAUUCUGGCUCAGGAUGAACGCUGGCGGCGUGCUUAACACAUGCAAGUCGAACGGAGUUUUUAAACGGAAGUUUUCGGAUGGAAGUUUAGAAACUUAGUGGCGGACGGGUGAGUAACGCGUGGGUAACCUGCCUCAUACAGGGGGAUAACAGUUAGAAAUGACUGCUAACACCGCAUAAUAUAGCGAAACCGCAUGAUUUUGCUAUCAAAUAUUUAUAGGUAUGAGAUGGGCCCGCGUCUGAUUAGCUAGUUGGUGGGGUAAAGCCUACCAAGGCGACGAUCAGUAGCCGGCUUGAGAGAGUGACCGGCCACAUUGGGACUGAGACACGGCCCAAACUCCUACGGGAGGCAGCAGUGGGGAAUAUUGGACAAUGGGGGAAACCCUGAUCCAGCGAACCGCCGCGUGAGUGAAGAAGUAUUUCGGUAUGUAAAGCUCUAUCAGCAGGGAAGAUAAUGACAGUACCUGACUAAGAAGCCCCGGCUAACUACGUGCCAGCCGCAGC